GAUGAACGCUAGCUACAGGCUUAACACAUGCAAGUCGCGGGGCAGCAUGGGGGUUGCUUGCACUCCCCGAUGGCGACCGGCGCACGGGUGAGUAACGCGUAUCCAACCUGCCCUUCACCACGGGCUAACCCGGCGAAAGUCGGACUAAUACCGUAUGUUGUCCAUUGACGGCCUCCGAUUUUGACGAACGGCUUGGCGGUGAGGGAUGGGGAUGCGUCCGAUUAGCCAGACGGCGGGGUAACGGCCCACCGUGGCUACGAUCGGUAGGGGGUCUGAGAGGAAGGUCCCCCACACGGGAACUGAGACACGGUCCAGACUCCUACGGGAGGCAGCAGUGAGGAAUAUAGGUCAAUGGGCGUAAGCCUGAACCAGCCAAGUAGCGUGCAGGAUGACGGCCCUAUGGGUUGUAAACUGCUUUUAUGCGGGGAUAAAGUGGCCCACGUGUGGGCUUUUGCAGGUACCGCAUGAAUAAGGACCGGCUAAUUCCGUG
rnacentral:rRNA from 1 species